GACGAACGCUAGCGGCGUGCCUAAUACAUGCAAGUAGAACGCUGAAGCUUGGUGCUUGCACCGAGAGGAGGAGUUGCGAACGGGUGAGUAACGCGUAGGUAAGCUGCCAGGUAGCGGGGGAGAACUAUUGGAAACGAUAGACAAUACUGCAUAAUAGUAGCUGUUGCAUGACAUAUGCUUAAAAGGUGCAAUUGCAUCACUACCAGACGGAUCUGUGGUGUAUUAGCUAGGUGGUGAGGUAACGGCCCACCAAGGGAACGAUACGUAGCCGGUCGGAGAGGAGGAUGCGCCACACUGGAAAUGAGACACGGUCCAGACUCGUAAGGGAGGCAGCGGUGGGGAAUAUUGGACAAUGGGCGCAAGCCUGAUCAAGCAAUACCGCGUGGGUGAAGAAGGCCUUCGGGUUGUAAAGCCCUUUUGUUGGGAAAGAAAAGCAGCAGGUUAAUACCCCGCUGUUCUGACGGUACCCAAAGAAUAGGGAACGGCUAACUUCGUG
rnacentral:rRNA from 1 species